rnacentral:rRNA from 1 species
AAACCUGGCAUAAAAUUAGUCUUUGAUAUAAGACCCGAAACUAAGUGAUCUAACCAUGAACAGGCUGAAUUUAAAGCGGUAACGCUUAUUGAAGGGCCGAACUCGUGUAUGUAGAAAAAUACUGAGAUGAUUUGUGGUUAGGGGUGAAAGGCCAAUCAAACUUAGAGAUAGCUGGUUUUCUGCGAAAUCUAUUUAAGUAGAGCGUUUAAAAUUCUUUGUUUUAAGGUAGAGCACUCGAUAAAUAAAGGGGACGUAAAGUUUUACUGCAUUUAAUGAAACUCCAAAUAUA